CCUGCCCACUGAUAUUAAUUGAAUGGCCGCAGUAUUUUAACUGUGCAAAGGUAGCAUAGUCACUAGUCUUUUAAUUGGAGGCUUGUAUGAAUGGUUGGACGAAGCAUAUUCUGUGUCAAAGUAAUUUGUAGAAUUUUAUUUUUUAGUUAAAAAGCUGAAAUUUAAAUGAAAGACGAGAAGACCCUAUAGAUCUUAAUAAUUUAAAUUAUUUUAAAUAUUUAGGUGAAUUCAUUUAAGAUGAGUUAAAUUAUUUUGUUGGGGUGACAUUAAGAUUUAUUUAACUCUUAAUUUAUAAUUACAUUAAUUAGUGAAUAAAUAUUUUGUGAUCCUUUAUUAUGGAUUGAAAAAUUAAGUUACCUUAGGGAUAACAGCGUAAUUUUUCUGGAGAGUUCAUAUCGAUAGAAAAGUUUGCGACCUCGAUGUUGGAUUAAGAUUAAUUUUGGGUGUAGAAGUUCAAUUAAUUAAGUCUGUUCGACUUUUAAAUUCUUACAUGAUCUGAGUUCAAACCGGCGUGAGCCAGGUUGGUUUCUAUCUUUAUUAAAUUAAAGUAUUUUAGUACGAAAGGACCAAAUACUUGAAUUAUAAUUUUUUAUUUGAAUUUUAUUAAUUUACUAUUUUGGCAGAUUAGUGCAAUAAAUUUAGAAUUUAUGGAUGUAAUUUUUAUUACAAAUAGUAUUGUUGAAUUUAGAUUUAUUUAUUUCUUUUGUGGG
rnacentral:rRNA from 1 species